rnacentral:rRNA from 1 species
AGUGAACGCUGGCGGCGUGCUUAACACAUGCAAGUCGAACGAGAACGGAUUAUAGCUUGCUAUAAUUGUCAGCUAGUGGCGCACGGGUGAGUAAUGUAUAGGUAAUAUGCCUCUUACUAAGGGAUAACAAAUGGAAACGUUUGCUAAUACCUUAUACUCCUUAUUAACAGAAGUUAAUAAGGGAAAGAUUUAUUGGUAAGAGAUUAGCCUGUAUUGUAUCAGUUAGUUGGUGGGGUAAUGGCUUACCAAGACUAUGACACAUAACUGGUUUGAGAGGAUGAUCAGUCACACUGGAACUGAGACACGGUCCAGACUCCUACGGGAGGCAGCAGUGGGGAAUAUUGCACAAUGGACGAAAGUCUGAUGCAGCAACGCCGCGUGGAGGAUGACACAUUUCGGUGCGUAAACUCCUUUUAUAUGAGAAGAUAAUGACGGUAUUAUAUGAAUAAGCACCGGCUAACUCUGUGCCAGCCGCCGCGGUAAUAC